rfam:TPA: Bos taurus chromosome 26, whole genome shotgun sequence.
UCCCUGGUGGUCCAGUGGUUAGGACUUGGUGCUUCCACUGCUGAGGGCCCAGGUUCAAUCCCUGGUCGAGGAA